AUUAAAUAAACUUCAAUAAGAGGAGAAACACACACACAAGGGUCUGUUACCCCCACCCCACCUCUCAAUCUGGAUUGGCUACUAACUCUGCUAGGUGGUCACUUGUGGGGGUGACUUUCCCUCUGUGGGAUGUCUCUGCAUCCACCAAAAACAGUGGCGAUAAGCCCUUCGCUCUUUGUUUUCUUCACAGUUAAAUGUGGAUUCUUUGACACUGGGAUGUUGGGAAGAUUAAAUGAAGCAACAUGUAGGAAAAGUAAUGAGCACAGUUCUUGGUCAAUUGUGAUCUGACAUUUUCCUUUUAAACAAUUAGGGAACACUUGUUUAUAAGCCCUCCUGAAGCCAGGUCUAGACCUCAAUCCCUGUUGGCACAGCAACCCCUUGUUUAGCACUGGAGCGGGGGGCAGGUGUCACCAAGUUGGUUUGAACAGACAUGCUCAGGGAGGGAGCCGGAAACGCUUUAGCUCCACAGGUGACUCUACCCUGAAAUCAACUUGAAUCCAAGUGAUUCCAGAAUCACUGGUCUGGAACCAUAGCCAGACCAGUGAUUCUCAAGAUUCUGUUCACAGAUUUAGCCACAUUCCGAUUUAAUCCAAACUCUGAUGGUCACGGUUUACAGGAAAGAAUGUAAAACGCUGCUCCACGUCCUGAAGCUGCCAGCCCCUCCUGAGGUGCAGGAUGGGGUGGGACAGCUGAUGGCAAGGUGCUGGGAAGGCAGCCUCCCAGGAUGGAUCAAAUCAGGCUCAGAUUCUGGCUGGAAUCAGGGCCGGAACUGGGCCAUGGGAACCCAUCGGAGAUUCUGUAGAUCAGCCUCCCCUUUCACCAUAACCCUGUGAGCCAGCCGAGGUGUUCUACCUAGAUGUGGACCCCAACACGGUCACAGGUACCUUUUGUGGCCUGGGAAGCGGUGCCCUGUCACCACCCCAGUGCACUCGUCUAGGGUUCAGCAAUUCCAUGGGCCACCUGUGCUUCUAAAUGGCUUUGACAAGACACAGGUGGCUUCUCAAGGACAGACUGCUCUCAUUUAUGAGGGCCGACUCUUAUGAAGAAGAAAACUAUCUUUGGCCAUACUCAGGUGGUGGUUUUCUUGGAGGAGCACACCACUUUACUGAGUUACAUUGUAGUAACUCUCAGGGAAGGCAAACUGGGCCUAAGAAAUGAUUGUAAAGUUACCAGUUACGCAGACUCUGAAUACCCAAACUUAAAAAAAAAUGUGUGUUUCUCAGAUAAUUCUGUUACAUUAAUGUGAAACCAUGGCAGUAGAACUUGAAAUCUCAAUAAUGUCUUAUCAUAAUCCAAAGCCAGGGGCACAGAUUCAUGUAGCUACUGUAAGAAUGAUCAGGAAAUAACCUCAGGUUCAAAUAGGAAAGAUCCCGUUGGUAGGCAUGGGCGUUUGUCAGUGAAUAACAGCAGCAGGACUUGCUCAGGUCUCAGGAUGGUCUAAACACUUAGCAUGUGCACCAUUACACUGUGGGACAAUUGUACUUGAAAGUACAUGGGACAGGGGUCUUCAUCUGGGGGGUGAUCUGGUAACCUAGGGCUUACGAGCAUAAGGACACACAGCUGUGCUGGGUGUCCCUGGACUUACCCCAUCCUCACAGGCGGCAAACCUCAGGAGUGAAGAGAUACUGCUCUGCGUCAGCUGCAACAACAGAAGAGGGCUGGGUUCAAAAAUCCCGCUGCUGUGGAAAGAGCAACAGAUGCUCAGUAUCCCAGCCAGUGAGUCCAAGUGGCUCCAUGCAGUGGACAUGGGAUGCACAUGGGCUCCUGGAUCAGCUCCUACCUUGACCCUCACUGUCCACUGGGGUCGUGAGGGGCAGUCCAGAAAGACCUGGAGGUGUCUUUUCAGAAGAGGGCAAGCGACCACACGGCAGCAGACUGCACAGGAAAAGGUGCCUCUGUUGUUUGGAAACACACAGGGAAGGAGCUGCAAGGAACAGCCAAAAUCCACGUUAUGAAGAAAAUACACUGUUAGGUGGUGAUGUGCACCACAGCGUCUUGGUGCACAUCAAGAGGUGCGCUCCUUGCAGCUCAGUGGACUUGGCUUUGCUCUCAGAGCUCAUGCCUGGCCCUUGGUGCAGUGGAAGCUGGCCUGAGGCAGUAAGGCGGUAGGAAUCCGGGGCCUGGGGGUUGCUGUUGCCCUUGGGUCUUUCAGGCCAGUCACUGUCCCCUUACCUG